rnacentral:rRNA from 1 species
GACGAACGCUGGCGGUGUGCUUAACACAUGCAAGUCGAGCGGUAAGGCCCUUUCGGGGGUACACGAGUGGCGAACGGGUGAGUAACACGUGAGUAACCUGCCCUCAUCUCUGGGAUAACAGUCGGAAACGGUUGCUAAUACUGGAUAUGAGCUUGCAAGGCAUCUUGUGGGUUGGAAAGAUUUUUUUGGUUGGGGAUGGACUCGCGGCCUAUCAGCUUGUUGGUGAGGUAGUGGCUCACCAAGGCUUCGACGGGUAGCCGGCCUGAGAGGGCGACCGGCCACAUUGGGACUGAGAUACGGCCCAAACUCCUACGGGAGGCAGCAGUGGGGAAUAUUGCACAAUGGACGGAAGUCUGAUGCAGCAACGCCGCGUGCGGGAUGACGGCCUUCGGGUUGUAAACCGCUUUCAAUUGUGACGAAGCUUUUUGUGACGGUAGCAGUAGAAGAAGCACCGGCUAACUACGUG